rnacentral:rRNA from 1 species
ACGAACGCUGGCGGCGUGCCUAAUACAUGCAAGUAGAACGCUGAAGAGAGGAGCUUGCUCUUCUUGGAUGAGUUGCGAACGGGUGAGUAACGCGUAGGUAACCUGCCUUGUAGCGGGGGAUAACUAUUGGAAACGAUAGCUAAUACCGCAUAACAAUGGAUGACACAUGUCAUUUAUUUGAAAGGGGCAAUUGCUCCACUACAAGAUGGACCUGCGUUGUAUUAGCUAGUAGGUGAGGUAAUGGCUCACCUAGGCGACGAUACAUAGCCGACCUGAGAGGGUGAUCGGCCACACUGGGACUGAGACACGGCCCAGACUCCUACGGGAGGCAGCAGUAGGGAAUCUUCGGCAAUGGGGGCAACCCUGACCGAGCAACGCCGCGUGAGUGAAGAAGGUUUUCGGAUCGUAAAGCUCUGUUGUAAGUCAAGAACGGGUGUGAGGGUGGAAAGUUCACACUGUGACGGCAGCUUACCAGAAAGGGACGGCUAACUACGU